CCAAUUAGAAAUCUCUCCCAUAAUAAUUCAAACAUUCAUUCUCCAAUCUAAAUAAACAAAACAACCUACACUUAACGCAUAAAAAUCUGCAGGCUGCGGCCAUGUAUUACCAUUAAAGAAUUCACCGGCGGUGGUAUUUGUAGAGAUCCUUAGUAAUGAUUCAUCGGUAGCGGGAACCAAAUGUCCUUGAAUUGCUUUAAUCCGUCGCUCAGCCCUUGAUUCCAUUCAGAUUUUUCUUCUUUUUCUAAUCUGUUUCUGAAUUCAACAGAGUAAUCGAAUUUCUACUUGCAUUACAAUUUACAGAUGCAGAGAAGAAGCAAACAUGUAUUGAAAAUAACAUAAAUAUAUAAGAAAAAAUAUCAUCCAAUGAAACCAAAAAGAGAAAUGGAUUUUGGCACACCUUACAACGUCGUGACGAUAAUAUAGUCAGAGAUGGCCGAGAAUUGGAGGAGGAUGAGGAUGGUAUUUCUAAACUUUUCUUCAACUUUUUAACAAGUGUGACUUUGGGGUCCUCAAC
rnacentral:lncRNA from 1 species